GACAGAGGAUGCAAACGUUGCUCGGAAUUACUGGGCGUAAAGCGCGUGUAGGCGGUCCUGUAAGUCGGGUGUGAAAUCCCGGGGCUCAACCCCGGAAGCGCACUCGAUACUGCUCGACUUGGGUUCUGAAGAGGAGAGCGGAAUUCCCGGUGUAGAGGUGAAAUUCGUAGAUAUCGGGAGGAACACCAGUGGCGAAGGCGGCUCUCUGGGCAGAUACCGACGCUGAGACGCGAAAGCGUGGGAAGCAAACAGG
rnacentral:rRNA from 1 species